UCGGGUACUUUAGCGCGGGCAGCCACGAACUUGAACCGAUUAUACCUACACCAAAUUAAAUGAAUAAUUAAAUAAUAAUAAAAAAAAUAGUGCAGAUUCAUAGGAUCGAAUUUUUUUUCCACACAACAUUUAAUGUUGCAUUAAUUGGAGGUCAGGAGGGACAAAAUUUUUUCUUGAAGGACAAGUUUCAUUGACCUCCUCCCUCCUCCAUAUUAUUUGUAUAUGUAUAUAGAUAUCCCAAUCAUUUUUUUUACCUCCACAUUACGUAGAGAUCACAAUCAUCUUCUUCACCCCCACACCACUAUCGAACCCAAACUUCUCUUCAAACACACACCAACAAAUCGAAUGGGGGAACAAGAAUCAGAGACGGUGGAGUAUGGCAGAUGAUUAUAGGAUUAGACUCCACAAUCCAACAACACUUUGUUCUCAUAUCAAUAAGGUUAUCUCCGCAAGUAAGGUCGGAGUAAGAAUUCAAGAUAAGAAAACUAAGCGAUCAAGGUUGAGCAGCGAAGUGGUGGAGGAAGUGCUAUUGAGACAAGACAUUUAAUUCAG